UACGUGGGGUGCAAGCGUUGUCCGGAAUUAUUGGGCGUAAAGAGCUCGUAGGCGGUUUGUCGCGUCGGCUGUGAAAACUCGGGGCUCAACCCCGAGCCUGCAGUCGAUACGGGCAGACUAGAGUGCUGUAGGGGAGACUGGAAUUCCUGGUGUAGCGGUGAAAUGCGCAGAUAUCAGGAGGAACACCGGUGGCGAAGGCGGGUCUCUGGGCAGUAACUGACGCUGAGGAGCGAAAGCGUGGGGAGCGAACAGG
rnacentral:rRNA from 1 species